rnacentral:lncRNA from 1 species
AUUAUUUUUUUUCAACUUCUUGUCCCUCCUACAGGUACAACAUACUUGUUUGGUGAAGCUACAAAAAGAAAUCCAUCAUUAUAAUUCUCUCAGAGUGAUGGUAACAAGAUCUCUCCAUGUCACGCUGGAGCUGUGUUCCUUCUUUGCGUUUUUUUUUAAUAGAGGGGGGUGUUGAGUGUUGUGCACCAUAUGGCUUUUGCAGCCAAAACUCCGGAUGCGGUAACUGGGACGUUCACAAGUGGUGCUAAGGACCCGUGCCUCGGUUCCCUCUCCUGUGCUUUCAGGGCGAGUUAGAUGGAUCUGACAUUCACAGCUUGUUAAUCACCAGCACCCCAGGUAAAAAUAACUGGAUGCUUUAAGUGCCGUAAGAUUUUCUACUGACGCUUAAUAACACCCUGGAUGUUUCUCUUAGCUCCUGUACCAUUGUAGUAAUUUGAUCAUCGCAGCAUAAACCUGUUUUCGGCUGCACGGAGCAGGCAAUGGGCUGGAUGGCUGGAGCUCUAAAAAUGGUCCUGCAAGUUUGUGUUAGGCUUGGCAGUUUUGUUCAGGCCUGUUUUAUUCAGCUUAUUGUGAGA